rnacentral:rRNA from 1 species
UGUUAAUAAUUUAUAUAAAAUAUUUUGAUGAAUAUUUAUAUAAUAUUAACAUAAUUCAUAUUACUAUUUUUUUUUAGUAUAUGAAAUUUUACUUUGAGAAAAUUAGAGUGCUUAAAGCAGGCAUAUGCCUUGAAUACUCCAGCAUGGAAUAAUAUUAAAGAUUUUUAUCUUUUUUAUUGGUUCUAAGAUAAGAAUAAUGAUUAAUAGGGACAGUUGGGGGCAUUUGUAUUUAACAGUCAGAGGUGAAAUUCUUAGAUUUGUUAAAGACAAACUAAUGCGAAAGCAUUUGCCAAGGAUGUUUUCAUUAAUCAAGAACGAAAGUUAGGGGAUCGAAGACGAUCAGAUACCGUCGUAGUCUUAACCAUAAACUAUGCCAACUAGAGAUUGGAGGUUGUU